rnacentral:rRNA from 1 species
UACGGGGGGUGCAAGCGUUAAUCGGAAUUACUGGGCGUAAAGGGUGCGUAGGUGGUUAUAUAAGUUAUCUGUGAAAUCCCCGGGCUUAACCUGGGCAGGUCAGAUAAGACUGUGUGACUAGAGUAUGGGAGAGGGUAGUGGAAUUUCCGGUGUAGCGGUGAAAUGCGUAGAGAUCGGAAGGAACACCAGUGGCGAAGGCGGCUACCUGGCCCAAUACUGACACUGAGGCACGAAAGCGUGGGGAGCAAACAGG